UACGAGGGGGGCAAGCGUUGUUCGGAAUCAUUGGGCGUAAAGAGCUCGUAGGCGGUUUGUCGCGUCGGCUGUGAAAACUGGGGGCUCAACCCCUGGCCUGCAGUCGAUACGGGCAGACUAGAGUUCGGUAGGGGAGACUGGAAUUCCUGGUGUAGCGGUGAAAUGCGCAGAUAUCAGGAGGAACACCGGUGGCGAAGGCGGGUCUCUGGGCCGAAACUGACGCUGAGGAGCGAAAGCGUGGGGAGCGAACAGG
rnacentral:rRNA from 1 species